AGACAAGUAUUGCUGAUAUGUUGAAGAACGCCCCAAACAAACUCGGUGGAAACAGAUACAAGAAUCUUGUGGGACCAACAAGUCUAUCUACAGGCCGAGUACAAAACCUUCCCCUCAAACUCCAAGACAAGACAGAACUGAAAGCUCUCCUUUCGAAAAAUCUAUAACAGAAAAAAUGGAAUACAUAAUGAAGGAAUUAUCAAAAUUGACAUUUUUAUCAGGGGAUA